ensembl:lncRNA
UUUUAACAAUAACUCUUUCUUAAAAGUUCUUACAAUAAUAGACCCGGAAGUACUUUUGCAGCAACAAAGCCUCCUUAUGCUAGAUCGACAAUAUAGUUAUUUAAUGUUUAGAAGUAGGCUAAGUUCACAAUAAUAAUAAUAAUAAUUAUUAUUAUUAUUAAGACAAUAACCGUAUACGUUUUGUUUUUAAAGCGGCUUGUUUUAUUUAUACAAUCAAAAAACAACAAUAAUCGUUGAAUAAUGAAUAGGCUUUUAGGGGUUUUCAACUAAAAUGUAUUAUGGAAAACGAUCCCGAUCGAGAAUGCUGGACACAAUAAGAAGUCAGCUGAGCGAUGAGGCUCGCCUAGGGUAGGAGUCGUGAAUCUCGCGACACUACAGCUCCGAUUAUAUUGCAGUACAAUGGUACCAUAUCUCCUCGGCUGGCAAAUAAUUAAACUUGUACUAGAAUUCAUCUUGAUUUGAAGGCUUAGUGGCUUCAAAUCGUGGUAAUGGAGAAAUGGAGAUGUCACGUGCGCACAAAACUCAUACAGCGAGACAGCUCACAGAAGGAUCCAUAUGCUGGCAUCUUCAGAAGUUGUAAGAUGUUUUGUUUUGUUGUGGCAGCAUUCUUGUGCUUUGAAUGAGCUACCUGAUGUGAAUCAGCUUAAAUUGUAUAGGAUUUGUUUACAUUGCGUUGUGUGCAAUAUUAAUUUGCAGUGUUUCAGCUGCAAGAUAAUUUUGAAAUUCGUCGAGAAAUUUGGGAAGAUCUGCAGAGCCAAAGGUUUGAAGAAAAAAAUAUCAGGAUCUUUCUAUUUAAAAUGUUCUGUUAGUUUUUUAAUUUCCAAACUUUUUUCAAACGGUAUUAAUUCCAGUUUAGAACAAGAUGGAAUAACAUUUGUGGAACUUCACCUCUGGUUAAGAGAGAGUGAACACCUGUCUAAAAAGUUGUCUCAGACCGUCUCUGACCUGACCAGUGUUUUGUAUUUCAAAGAGGCUGAGCUACAGUACUGGCAGUCUCAGGUAGCCCGUUUCCGUCGGGAGGCUCUGAGCCUGGCUGGAGGCAGCAACUCGCUGAAGGCCACCCUGAACCACCAGGAGUUCACCCUUGAGAGGCAGGCCAAGGAGCUGGCCGCCCUGCAGAAGGAGCACAUGCGCCUGCGGGAGGGGAUGGUGGAGGCCUGGAAGGAGAAAGGGGACCUCCUCCAGAGAUGGAUGGAGGAGAAGAAAGAGGAGGCGGCAAGGGUUAAUAAGUACAAUGACGCACAGGAAAGGUAUAAUAUGUGGUAGUUCACUCGGGUGUUUUAUUGGCACAGUAUUUUUGAUUGUACACAAUUUAGGUGUUACAGCCACCAAAGUAGAUGCAAAGGUGUAAGUAAGAUACAAUAAUUACAGAUAAAACCAAUUCGAUAAUAAUCCAACUAGUACGCAAGUCAAUUACAAUCGAUCUAGGUGUACCGAUCUGUACCAAUACAAAACUUAACUGGUACACAUAUAGUAUUCAAGUGGGCCAAUCCGUGGUGUGAUGGCUCUGUUUACCCAAUAGGUGGCGUCGGUUGGCCAGACGGCUGAAGAAACAACUUCGGGGAGAAACGGUCAAACCUUCGGAGCAGACGGAGAUUGACGUGACGAGUGGCGAAAAAGAAGCAGCAUUCAAACUAGAAUGAGUGACAGCAUUUAUUUUGUAACUUUUUUUCAUCUGUAACUAAUAUCGCUUAAAUAACUUGUUUUACAUUCGCAGUUUAAUGUGAGCACCAUUCCUAGAAGCACAAUCCGAACUCCACUUAAACAGCAACUAAAUAUGCACCUGAUGCAACUCUCUAUUGACUACAUUUAAUGUUGUUUAGAUGGACCGUUUUUAUUGAAUCAACAUGGGCAGGCAUCACUUGUGCAUCAAGCUUACAAACCGAACUAAUAAUUCAAGAUUAUAUGCACCUCCUGAUGACGUUGUAACAUGUUUGUGUUUGUGUAACCUUAUCGGAUUGGUUUUUAGUCCGAUAAGAUCUUAAAGUGAUUCAUGUUUUUUUUACUUUUUAGUGUGACUGACAAGCCUACAUUAUUAUAUUUUAAAAAGACUCGUGGUAGAUAUGCUAUAUAAAUAUAUUGUGUUAUCAACUUUUUUUUAAAAUAAAGCAAUGUGUAACGUGCG